rnacentral:rRNA from 1 species
GACGAACGCUGGCUGCGUGCUUAACACAUGCAAGUCGAACGGAAAGGCCCUGCUUGCAUGGUACUCGAGUGGCGAACGGGUGAGUAACACGUGGGUGAUCUGCCCUGCACUUCGGGAUAAGCCUGGGAAACUGGGUCUAAUACCGGAUAGGAGCCAAUUUUAUUGUGAUGGUUGGAAAGUUUUUUCGGUGUAGGAUGAGCUCGCGGCCUAUCAGCUUGUUGGUGGGGUAAUGGCCUACCAAGGCGGCGACGGGUAGCCGGCCUGAGAGGGUGGACGGCCACAUUGGGACUGAGAUACGGCCCAGACUCCUACGGGAGGCAGCAGUGGGGAAUAUUGCACAAUGGGCGCAAGCCUGAUGCAGCGACGCCGCGUGGGGGAUGACGGCCUUCGGGUUGUAAACUCCUUUCGCUAGGGACGAAGCUUUUUGUGACGGUACCUAGAUAAGAAGCACCGGCUAACUACGUG